UUUCCAGUUUGAACGAGAUCUACAGAAGAUAAAUUGCCACAUAGCGCUAAAUGCUCACACAGAUAUCGACCGCGCGUUCCUCUCUGCCGGGGUACCCAUGACAACCAUCAAGACUGAUAGCCAGCUUUGUUCUUUAAGGAUAAAGAGAUUCGACACUUUUAAAAAUGGAAAUCCGAAACAAUAUUGUUCAACAGUUCACUGGCGGGAAGAAAUCUAAUUGUGUUAGCCAGCGAGAUGUCUAUAGAGAGAUGGGUCGUUACUUCGGGGUUCAACUUGAGAUAUCUUUAAGCACUUCAUACUUCACAAGACAGCUCCUGUGUUGAUGCUCAGUUGUUGCUAAGCAGAAAACAACAGGUUGUCUCCAGCGGACUGGGUCUACACAGAAUUGAAGUCUCUUCCCCUUCCCUGCUGUACUCUCUGAAACAGAAGAUGUUAUUGAAGUUUUUAACAGCUACAAAUUGAGUGAGGAGUCUUGGUGCUUCAAAUUAAAAGCUGCAAGGGAAGCAUGCUGGUUACUGGGUCCAU